rnacentral:rRNA from 1 species
CAGCGGUAAAAUUGCGGGGCUCAACCCCGUCGAGCCGUUGAAACUGGCAGACUUGAGUUGGCGAGAAGUACGCGGAAUGCGCGGUGUAGCGGUGAAAUGCAUAGAUAUCGCGCAGAACUCCGAUUGCGAAGGCAGCGUACCGGCGCCAGACUGACGCUGAGGCACGAAAGCGUGGGGAUCAAACAGGAUUAGAUACCCUGGUAGUCCGCACAGUAAACGAUGAAUGCUAGCUGUCCGGGGGGAUUGACCCCUGGGUGGCACAGCGAAAGCGUUAAGCAUUCCACCUGGGGAGUACGCCGGCAACGGUGAAACUCAAAGGAAUUGACGGGGGCCCGCACAAGCGGAGGAACAUGUGGUUUAAUUCGAUGAUACGCGAGGAACCUUACCCGGGCUCAAACGCAUAAUGACGACAGUUGAAAGAUUGUUUCCCUUCGGGGCAUUAUGCGAGGUGCUGCAUGGUUGUCGUCAGCUCGUGCCGUGAGGUGUCGGCUUAAGUGCCAUAACGAGCGCAACCCCUAUCGACAGUUGCUAACGAGUCGAGUCGAGGACUCUGUCGAGACUGCCGGCGCAAGCUGUGAGGAAGGCGGGGAUGACGUCAAAUCAGCACGGCCCUUACGUCCGGGGCGACACACGUGUUACAAUGGCAGGGACAGCGGGAAGCCACCAAGCGAUUGGGCGCGGAACCCGAAACCCUGUCUCAGUUCGGAUUGGAGUCUGCAACCCGACUCCAUGAAGCUGGAUUCGCUAGUAAUCGCGCAUCAGCCACGGCGCGGUGAAUACGUUCCCGGGCCUUGUACACACCGCCCGUCAAGCCAUGGAAGCCGGGGGUGCCUGAAGUGCGUGACCGCAAGGAGCGCCCUAGGGUAAAACCGGUGACUGGGGCUAAGUCGUAACAAGGUAACCGUAA